AUAUGGUCAAGCGAAUAUAGGUCCAUGGCGGAUGCCUUGGAGCUGGCGGACGAAGAAGGCCGUGACAAGCUGCGAAAAGCCGCGGGGAGGAGCACAUAUCCCUUGAUCCGCGGAUUGCCGAAUGGGGUAACCCGCACGGAGUGAUCCGUGCACCGCACGCCUGAAUAAAAUAGGGCGGCGGAGUCAUACCGGAUGAAGUGAACCAUCUAAGUAAUCCGGGAAAAGAAAUCAACAGAGAUUCCCUAAGUAGCGGCGAGCGAACGGGGAGGAGCCUAAACCGCAUUAAGCGGGGUUGUAGGGCCGCAUGGGGAUGACCCGCGGAGAGAAAAAACCGAGGAACAUAUGGGAACAGGCUGGAAAGCCUGGCCGAAGAGGGUGACAGCCCCGUAGCUUAAAUGAUUCCCGGCUCCGUGAUGCGGUACCUGAGUAGGGCGGGGCACGAGAAACCCUGUCUGAAUCCGGGUCGACCACGAUCCAAGGCUGAAUACCUGCCAGCUACCGAUAGUGCAGAAGUACCGUGAGGGAAAGGCGAAAAGAACCCCGGUAAGGGGAGUGAAAUAGAACCUGAAACCAUGGACCGGCAAGAUGUCACGGGCCGCAAGGCUUGUGGCGUGUCUUUUGUAGAAUAAACCUGCGAGUUACGGUAUGCAGCAAGGCUAAGGAAUUGAAGUUCCGGAGCCGGAGCGAAAGCGAGUGUGAACAGCGCGAUAUAAGUUGCAUGUCGUAGACCCGAAGCCAAUGUGAUCUUAUUAUGGGCAGGUUGAAGCAGGGGUGAAACCUUGUGGAGGACCGAACAGUAAUCUGUUAAAAAAGGUAGUGAUGACCUGUGAUAAGGAGUGAAAGGCUAAACAAACAUGGAAAUAGCUGGCUCUCCCCGAAAUGCCUUUAGGGACAGCCUCAUGCAAAGCCACCGGAGGUAAAGCACUGGAUGAGCAAGGGGGAGUCAAAUCCUACCGAGUUCAAUCAAACUAAGAAUGCCGGCGGCCAGCGCAUGGGAGUGAGACUGCGUGCGACAAGGUUCGUAGUCGAGAGGGAAACAGCCCAGAUCCGCAGCUAAGGUCCCAGAAUGACGCUAAGUGUAAAAUGAGGUACGGAUGCACAGACAGCCAGGAGGUUGGCUCAGAAGCAGCCAUUCCUUAAAAGAGUGCGUAACAGCUCACUGGUCGAGCACCCGCGCGCAGACAAUGUAACGGGGCUAAGCGUCAUACCGAAGCUCGGAAUUCAUACCGUAGGGUAUGACUGGUAGGGGAGCAUUCCAUUAACCCGUGAAGGCAUAUGCGAGAGCGGUGCUGGAGGAGAUGGAAGAGAGAAUGCAGGCAUAAGUAACGCAAAGACGGGUGAGAUCCCCGUCCGCCGAAAACCUAAGGUUUCCUACGUAAAGGCAAUCUGCGUAGGGUAAGUCGGCCCCUAAGGUCAGGGAGAAAUCCGUAGCCGAUGGGAAGACGGUCAAGAUUCCGUCACUUUUUUCAGAUUCGAGGGCAGGACGCAUGAGGCGAAAUCCGGCGGGAGAACGGUAGUUCCCGUCAAAGCGUUAAGGUGCUGAGGGGUGCAGGCAAAUCCGCAUCCUGAGCUGAGACGUAAGCGAGCGGAGAGAAAGUCGAAGUGAAGCGGAUGUAGUCAAGGUGCCGGGAAAUACUGUCUAAGGUCAGUCUGAAAAGAACCGUACCGGAAACCGACACAGGUAGGAAGGAUGAGUAAUCUAAGGCGCACGAGCGACCUCGCGUUAAGGAACUCGGCAAAAUGCACACGUAACUUCGGAAGAAGUGUGGCUCCGGUUUGAAAGAAUUAAGGAGCGGCAGAAAGCAGGCCCAGGCGACUGUUUAUCAAAAACACAGCCAUCUGCGAACCAGCAAUGGGACGUAUAGGUGGUGACACCUGCCCGGUGCCGGAAGGUUAAGAGGAGGAGUUAGCCGCAAGGCGAAGCCCUGAAUCGAAGCCCCGGUAAACGGCGGCCGUAACUAUAACGGUCCUAAGGUAGCGAAAUUCCUUGUCGGGUAAGUUCCGACCCGCAUGAAUGGUGUAACGAUUCUGGGCACUGUCUCAACGCGAGACUCGGUGAAAUUUAUAUUCCGGUAAAGAAGCCGGAUACCCGCAAUUAGACGGAAAGACCCCGUGAACCUUCACCGCAACUUAAUAUUGGGAUCCUGUUCACCAUGUGUAGGAUAGCUGGGAGGCAGUGAGGCGUGGCCGUCAGGCUGCGCGGAGCCAAUGGUGAAAUACCAGCCUUGAUGAACAGGAUUUCUAACCCGUGCCUUGAAGCAGGUGCGGGGACAAUGUUAGGCAGACGGUUUGACUGGGGCGGUCGCCUCCUAAACGGUAACGGAGGUGCGCGAAGGUCUCCUCACCCUGGUUGGGAAUCAGGGCGCGAGUGUAAAGGCACAAGGAGGCUUGACUGCGAGGGUGACAAUCCGAGCAGGUGCGAAAGCAGGUCUUAAUGAUCUGAUGGUUCUGAGUGGAAAGGCCAUCACUUAACGGACAAAAGGUACUCCGGGGAUAACAGGCUGAUUUUCCCCAAGAGUUCACAUCGACGGGAAAGUUUGGCACCUCGAUGUCGGCUCAUCGCAUCCUGGGGCUGGAGCAGGUCCCAAGGGUUUGGCUGUUCGCCAAUUAAAGCGGUACGUGAGCUGGGUUCAGAACGUCGCGAGACAGUUCGGUCCCUAUCUGUUGCGGGCGUUGGAUGUCUGAGGGGAGCUGCUUUUAGUACGAGAGGACCGAAGUGGACGAACCUCUGGUGUACCAGUUAUCCUGCCAAGGGUAAGUGCUGGGUAUCUAAGUUCGGAAGGGAUAACCGCUGAAAGCAUCUAAGCGGGAAGCCCACCUCAAGAUGAGACAUCCCUGGGGAUUUAAUCCCCCUGAAGGAUCCGGAGACACUAUCCGGUUGAUAGGCUGCAGGUAUAAGCGCGGUGACGCGUUCAGCCGAGCAGUACUAAUAAUCCGUGAGGCUUGGCCAUAUU
rnacentral:rRNA from 1 species